rnacentral:rRNA from 1 species
AUUGAACGCUGGCGGCAUGCCUAACACAUGCAAGUCGAACGGUAACAGGAAGCAGCUUGCUGCUUCGCUGACGAGUGGCGGACGGGUGUGUCAUGUCUGGGAAACUGCCUGAUGGAGGGGGAUAACUACUGGAAACGGUAGCUAAUACCGCAUAACUUCUCAAGACCAAAGAGGGGGACCUUAGGGCCUUUUUCCUUCGGAUUUGCCCAGAUGGGAUUAGCUAGUAGGUGGGGUAACGGCUCACCUAGGCGACGAUCCCUAGCUGGUCUGAGAGGGUGACCAGCCACACUGGAACUGAGACACGGUCCAGACUCCUACGGGAGGCAGCAGUGGGGAAUAUCGCGCAAUGGGCGAAAGCCUGAUGCAGCAAUGCCGCGUGUAUGAAGAAGGCCUUCGGGUUGUAAAGUACUUUCAGCGGGGAGGAAGGAAGGAAAGUUAAUACCUGUGCUCAUUGACGUUACCCGCAGAAGAAGCCCCGGCUAACUCCGUG